rnacentral:rRNA from 1 species
GACAGAGACCUCAAGCGUUAUCCGGAAUCAUUGGGCGUAAAGGGUGCGUAGGUGGUAGUGUUAGUCGGAUGUUAAAACUUCGGGCCUAACCCGAAAGAUGCGUCCGAAACGGCACAACUAGAGUGUAUGAGAGGCGUACGGAACUCAUGGUGUAGGGGUGAAAUCCGUUGAUAUCAUGGGGGAACACCAAAGGCGAAGGCAGUACGCUGGCAUACCACUGACACUCAAGCACGAAAGCGUGGGGAGCGAACGGG